CACACAGCUGAGGGCUUUUUUUUGGUUGGAUCUAGCGGAGGAGGUGAGAGGCUGCUGCAGCAGCACGUAGAAGAUGCACGGGUCUGGGCUUCAUCUACUUUGUUUCAAGAUUUAUUUCAUCUACUUUUCAUGAAUAAAAACAGAUAUUGAGGACAUUUUCCUUAACAAGAUGUGUUGCUGAUCCAACAUCUGUGCAUUAUUCAAUGGGGUUGAAUCUUUGAACUGUUAUUUUUCACGCUUUGUUCUCAGUCAGUCAAAGGUGGAGAGCUGACUCAUGAUGAAACUACUAUCAUUACCAAAGCUUUGUAGAUGAUCCGAAAGAAUGUUGUGACUCCCAUAUCGGAGAUGAACAUAGCCAUUAGUGCUUUAUAGGCAGCUUGCACAUAAGUCAAUUUCUGUAAGAUGUAACAAGAUUAUGCAAAAGCCAUGAGCAGUACAAGUUUGGUAAUUUGUUUUCAUAUGUUGUGGGCAUUAUUGGUGUUGUUCAUCAUCCAGGAAUGGGUGAUGAGGAGCUUGCUUCAAUCGGAUAAAGAAUGUUUCUUCGGUGCUGACCUUUCUUUAAUCUGUAUAGACACGAUUUUAAAACAGAGUUGGCAAUGGAAGUUGAGGUGAUUAAUUAUGCGUUCGGAAAGAGAUCACAACUUGCUAAGUUGGUUGUAUUGUCUUCAACAUGGGUUGUUUAUUUGUUCUAAAGGAAUAUCAUGUACUUCUAAUUAUGGUAGAUGUGAGAACAAAACUGUAACUUAUAAAUUCAGAAUUACCCAACUUGAUUGCAUAACUGGACUGAAGUUUUAGAGACAGGAACUUUUACAGCUUCUUGAUUACAGUUAGAUUGAAUGUUGCUAGGUUUUUAGGCUAUGCAAUCUACUUUUAGUAUGCACGUGUCUUAUGCAAACAGAGAAGGGAAAAAACAUGGGCUAUAUCUUUCAAAAAUUUAUUUUCCAUGUGCUCUCAUACUUUUUACAUGAAGCUUGAAGAAAAACUGAACGAAGGUUCCCUACUAUAAACUCGGUUAUUAAUUUUGUAGAAAAACAUUUAGCCCAUAUGACUUCCAGACUUACUGAUAUCCUUAUUAAAUGUAUAAUCAUGUGAUGAGGUUUCACCAUUCAAGCUUUUCCGUCCUGGUAUUACUUUUAAAACUGUAUACUUUUCUAGCAACUUAAAGUUUCACAAUGAAUAAAAUCAUAUUAAUUCAUCUCAUUGGUGGACAUCUUACGUUUCUGAUUUGCGACCUCAUAGCCUGCUCGCAUAGUUCUUUCUUCUUCAGUUUCUUUGUUAGUUUCUCAGAUUAUAAAUAAUAUCAAUGUGCACCCCAAUGUUCUCGAUGCAAUUAAUUCUGUUCUACCCCAAUUCCUGAACGUAUUCUACAUGAUGCAUGGGAGAUGCACGGAGUCAUUACAAGUUUUUUUUUCUUUUGCUCACGCGCCUUAUUAAUGGCUUAAGCCAUCUGUAGGCUUUCACUUUCAUUUCUUUUGUUGCAACAAGUACAAAUUGGUUUGAUGUUCUUAGUGAAGAGGAACCAUUUUGUUACUAUGCUAGAAUUACUAAUAUUCAUUACUCCUCAACUUCUGAUAAAUAAUUCCCUAUACGAUUGAGAGGUGCAACGGUUGCCCAGAUGGUGUCGUGUUUUCUUCAGAAAAAACAGUACACGACUGACCAAGGUAUCUCAGACCUCCUUGGCCUGUUCAUUCCACCUAUUGGUGCAAUGUGUCAGUCCUAUAUACCCCUUUGUAUUCUUGGUACCAUAUGUUUGGAGCUGAAUGUUAGCAUUCAGGGGUACAUCACUAACUUUGUUCCGAAUUAUGUUACUGACAAUAUGCAUUGUCCACUCACUCUGUAUGCCUUUUGUUGAUCCUUAUCAGCCUGUUGUAGUGCAGUUAUGUUUUUCUUUUAAAACAGAGUAAUCUUUUACUCAUUCAUCCUAAUUGUUGGUGGUUUCUUAACAGAUGUCUGCAGCUCUUUAAAUGUACCAGAGCGUGCAAUCUUUAUAUAUUUUACUGGGAGAACUGAUAUAGAUGCUGACCAACAAAUAAAUUCCAUUUGAGUUUGCAAAAGUCCCAACUCUCCGGCUGGAGGAACUGAAGAACAAUCAGAUUUUCGUAGCCACAACAAGAUAUA